rnacentral:lncRNA from 1 species
GCUGGCUGCGCGCGAAGCGCUCCACGAUGGGCCGGGUGGCGUCGUUGUUAAACAGGUCCUGGUCCGACACGAAGAGCCCCUCCCGGUUCACCAGGUUGACGUAGUACUUGUUGUCGAACACGUCGGGCGUGCGCACGUCCAGCGCGGCGCGCGCGUCGGUGCCCUUGGCCGGGCACGUCUGCCUCAGCCUGCCGAGGAAGUCCGGGCUCAUCGUCGGGUCGGGCCGCGGGAAGAGGCGGCCCUCGAAGGAGACGCAGUGGCCGAGCCCCACGGUGUGCCCGCCGGAGAGCGUGACGAGGUCGGUGGCGUCGAGGUCGGGGCUGUGGCUGUGGAGCACGUCGAGGAGGCACGGCACGGCGGAGGUGGGCGCGGGGAGGCCGGACAGCACGUCCUGCGUCGUGGCGAACCGCGCGCUGUCGCGCCGGCCGAGCGGCACGCGGUACUCGGGCCCGCCCGUGGCCACCACGGAGUCGCGCGCGGCGAGCGCCAGGAUGUCGGAGCAGGACACGACGGCGCCGCGGCACUCGCGCUCCAGCUGGUCCCGGAUGUCGUUGAUGGCCUUGAAGGCGGACGGGCGGAGCGUGAGGUUGGGCGGCGCCUGCUUCUCCCCCGGCCCCGUGGCCGAGCCGUCGAGGAGCACCGACGCGUCGCAGCCCUGCAUGCAUGCAUGAACCAAUGAGUGGAUUAAUGGGAGGCAGUCAACGCAGGAAGGGCAAGGUAGGCACCUGGACGAAGCAGUCGUGGAAGUGGAGGCGGAGGAGGCCGGCGGCGAGGCCGACGUCCUUGCGGACGGCGUGCCGGACGAAGUGGCGCACGAUGGACUCCGCCCUGGGGCAGCUCCGCUUGUAGAAGUCGAAGGACAGGCCGCGCGUGAUCGGAGGCUGCCUCAACCUCACGUCGUCCCCGCCGGCGCCGGCGGCCUCAUGCUCUGCCGCCGCAUAAGCCCCAUAUCCCAGCGAGCAGGCCAGUGCCAGCGCCGCUACUGCUGCUGCAGCGAGCAGAGGAGCACUGACUGUCCUAGCACAAACCAUCUCUCGAUCUGCCACCUGCCUCUGUCUCUCUGCGCGCGCGUGUGUGUCUGCUCUGCUACGUUGGUUCGUGUGUGUCACGGGCUCACAGUCACCUACCUGCCUUGGUUUUAUAUAGACGAGACUCCUCUUGUGCUUGACACGUACGUAGGUAGCACGACACGUACAUAGGAUGCAUGAGACGGCGACGACGACGACACGGCAGAUGUGCUAUAUCCGCCAUGAGUAGCAGGAGCUCAGGGACGAUGCGAGUCCUUUCAAGAUCGAGCGGCUUGGUCUUUUUUAGGGGAAUCGAGCAGCUUUGGAGCGGGCCUCGGGGGCCUAUUGGAUGCUAGAAAUCCUUUGAUUCAAAGAGGUUUGAGUGGAUGCUAGAAAUCCUAUUGGAAGUAGUACAAAGAAAUCCUUAGAAAAAAUUCCUGUAGGAUUCAAUCCUUUGAAUCAAACAACCAACAUAGGAAAAAAUCUUAAGGAUUAUGAUCCUCCAAAAUUCCUAUGUAAAUCCUUUGAAUCAAAGGAGCCCUAAUUAGUACCGUAUCGGGAGUUUAAUUAAAGACCGACCAGUUUAUUAGGCUGAAUUCUGAAUACUACAUAGCCAACACGGGGAUCAUGCACGGCUGUCAGCUGCAAAAGAUGCCAAAGUGCACAAACAAAAAAGGCCACCGAGCCCAACCCGUGACCCAGCACCAAAAGUGCACACGGACGAAAAGAUGGCCUCCGAGCCCGUCCAUGAACCUGCAACGAUAAGUGCGCAUGGACCAAAACAAAUGCAGUUAAAAGAUCCCCUAGGAGGGCACAGUCGUAAAAAAUAAUAAUAGCGCAAUUGCACCCCCGGGUUGGCACGUGCUAUACAUUAGCACGUGCUAUACAUUGGCACCGAUAAGUGCGCACAGACCAAAACAAAUGCGCUUUUUGUAUCUGGGCUCGUCCCCAGGCAUCCACCUGCAGUUGCCAUGGUUGCAACAUCAAUAGCGUCAUGCACCACUGUGCCAACACAAAAAUUUUAAAUGCAAUAAAAACUCCAGGACUCGAUUGAAGCAAAAAUUUAGCUGGUUCCAACAAAAAAUAGUGAUUGUUCCAACAAAAAAAAACUAUGCAACAAAAACUCCAGUAGUUGAUUAUGGCAAACAAAUUAGUGAGUUCCAGCAAAAACGCGGCUGGUUACGGCAAAAGAUCUCAGUAGCAAAAAUUGAAGUAAUCUACACCAAUCGAUGUAGCAAAACUAAAAACCAGUUACAAAAAGAAAAUGCUUUUUCCAGCAAAAGAACGUGUCAGCAGCGAGGCGUGCAUCUGGUUCCAGCACCAGGAGCCAUUGCUUCCAGCAUAUCGUGUGGCCAGUUGCAGCUUCGCAGUCAGUGGGUUCCAACACCUCUUGCAUCCUUGCCUUGCUGGUUGAUGGUCAUCACUUGAACAGCUCUAACACUGCCAUCAUCGCCGGGGUGCAGCUCUAACAGCAAAAAUCGGAAGCCAUCCAUGGCGAGUAGCGCCUCUGGCUACGGCAGCAAUGGAGAGGACUGCUCGAAGCCAGCCAUGGCUUCCGCUCGCAAUUGCCGCGAGGUUGCUUGCAACAGCCCGGGCGCAUCAUGCGGCUAGCUUUUUGGUACCCCGCCUCGUCGUAUUUUGCUGCGGGGAAGAAGAAAGGGUAUGAGCAGGAAAUCAAACAUUCUAUGGAAGAGCGGGAGUUCAAACAGAGUAAGAUUGCUAGAUCGUAAAAUAGGGUAGCUCAUUGUCUUGCGAAUUAAGCAUGGACAACUCGAAGCACCUCUUGUUGGUUGCAUAGAGCUCCAGAUUAUUUUUCAAGAUCUUGUAAUAGCUUAUUGUAACCCUAUUGAACUAUAAUAAAAACCCUGAUUCCCCGCAAAAGGGGGAUGAGCAGCGAAGGAGAUAGAGAUGUGGUGCUACAACAAUGAGACAGAUAUUACACGGGGUGGGAAAGAUAUAAGGGUAAGAAGGGCGGUGCUGCCCCCCACAAGAACUAAAGGAAAUAUGCCCUAGAGGCAAUAAUAAAGUUGUUAUUUGUAUUCCUUUAUAUCAUGAUAAAUGUUUAUUAUUCAUGCUAGAAUUGUAUUAACCGGAAACUUAGUACAUGUGUGAAUACAUAGACAAAACGUGUCCCUAGUAUGCCUCUACUUGACUAGCUCAUUAAUCAAAGAUGGUUAUGUUUCCUGACCAUAGACAUGUGUUGUCAUUUGAUGAAUGGGAUCACAUCAUUAGAGAAUAAUGUGAUGGACAAGACCCAUCCGUUAGCUUAGCAUAAUGAUCGUUAAAGUUCUUUUGCUAUUGCUUUCUUCAUGACUUAUACAUGUUCCUCUGACUAUGAGAUUAUGCAACUCCCGAAUACCGGAGGAACACCUUGUGUGCUAUCAAACGUCACAACGUAACUGGGUGAUUAUAAAGAUGCUCUACAGGUGUCUCCGAAGGUGUUUGUUGGGUUGGCAUAGAUCGAGAUUAGGAUUUGUCACUCCGUGUAUCGGAGAGGUAUCUCUGGGCCCUCUCGGUAAUGCUCAUCACUAUAAGCCUUGCAAGCAAUGUGACUAAUGAGUUAGUUACGGGAUUAUGCAUUACGGAACGAGUAAAGAGACUUGCCGGUAACGAGAUUGAACUAGGUAUGAGGAUACCGACGAUCGAAUCUCGGGCAAGUAACAUACCGAUGACAAAGGGAACAACGUAUGUUGUUAUGUGAUUUGACCGAUAAAGAUCUUCGUAGAAUAUGUAGGAGCCAAUAUGAGCAUCCAGGUUCCGCUAUUGGUUAUGGACCGGAGAUGUGUCUCGGUCAUAUCUACAUAGUUCUCGAACUAGUAGGGUCCGCACGCUUAACGUUCGAUGACGAUUUGUAUUAUGAGUUAUGUGUUUUGGUGACCGAAGUUUGUUCGGAGUCCCGGAUGAGAUCACGGACAUGACGAGGAGUCUCGAAAUGGUCGAGAGGUAAAUAUUCAUACAUUGGAAGGUAGUAUUCGGAUAUCGGACUGGUUUUGAGUGGUUCGGGUAUUUUACCGGAGUACCGAGGGGUUACCGGACCCCCCAGGGAAGUAUUAGGCCUACAUGGGCCUUAGUGGAGAGAGAGGAGGGCCGCAAGGGGUGGCCGCGCCCCCCAUGGCAAUUCGAAUUGGACCAGGGGAGGGAGAGGCGCCCCCCUUUCCCUCUCCCUCCCCCUCUCCUUCCUUUUCCCCUCAAGUAAGAAAGGAAAAGGUGGGGGGGGGGGUGAUAACUCACAAGUAUAGGGGGUCGCAACAGUUUUCGAGGGUAGAGUAUUCAAGCCAAAUUUAUUAAUUCGACACAAGGGGAGCCAAAGAAUAUUCUCAAGUAUUAGCAGUUGAGUUGUCAAUUCAACCACACCUGGAUAACUUAGUAUCUGCAGCAAAGUAUUUAGUAGCAAAGUAGUAUGGAAGUAACGGUAACAGUGAUACAAGUAACGGUAGCAGUUUUGUAGCAAUUGUAACAGUAGCAACGGUAAAGUAAAGAAGCAAAUCACAAUAUGUGAAAAGCUCGUAGGCAAUGGAUCAGUGAUGGAUAAUUAUGUUGGAUGCGAUUCCUCAUGUAAUAGUUAUAACAUAGGGUGACACAGAACUAGCUCCAGUCAAUGUAAUGUAGGCAUGUAUUCCGAAUAUAGUCAUACGUGCUUAUGGAAAAGAACUUGCAUGACAUCUUUUGUCCUAACCUCCCGUGGCAGUGGGGUCCUAAUGGAAACUAAGGGAUAUUAAGCAUUAACGCAUAGUGAAUACAUGAACUCCUCAAACUACGGUCAUCAUCGAGAAGUAUCCCGAUUAUUGUCACUUUGGGGUUGUCGGAUCAUAACACAUAAUAGGUGACUAUAGACUUGCAAGAUAGGAUCAAGAACUCACAUAUAUUCAUGAUAACAUAAUAGGUUCCGAUCUGAAAUCAUGGCACUCGGGCCCUAGUGAUAAGCAUUAAGCAUAGCAAAGUCAUAGCAACAUCAAUCUUAGAACAUAGUGGAUACUAGGAAUCAAACCCUAACAAAACUAACUUGAUUACAUGGUAAAUCUCAUCCAACCCAUCACCGUCCAGCAAGCCUACGAUGGAAUUACUCACGCACGGUGGUGAGCAUCAUGAAAUUGGUGAUGGAGGAUGGUUGAUGAUGACGACGACAACGAAUCCCCCUCUCCGGAGCCCCGAACGGACUACAGAUCAGCCCUCCCUAGAGAGAUUAGGGCUUGGCGUCGGCUCCGUAUCGUAAAACGUGAUGAAACUUUCUCUCUGAUUUUUUCUCUGCGAAAGCAAAUAUAUGGAGUUGGAGUUGAGGUUGGUGGAUGUCCAGGGGGCCCACGAGGCAAGGGGCGCGCCCAGGGGGAGGGGGCGCACCCCCCACCCUCGUGGACAGGGUGUGGGCCCCCUGACGCUAUUUCUUUCGCCAGUAUUUUUUAUUAAUUCUGAACAGUUGCUCCGUGGAUUUUCAGGUCAUUCUGAGAACUUUUAUUUCUGCACAAAAAUAACACCAUGGCAGUUCUGCUGAAAACAACGUCAGUCCGGGUUAGUUCCAUUCAAUUCAUGCAAGUUAGAGUCCAAAACAAGGGCAAAAGUGUUUGGAAAAGUAGAUACGACGGAGACGUAUCAACUCCCCCAAGCUUAAACCUUUGCUUGUCCUCAAGCAAUUCAGUUGACAAACUGAAAGUGAUAAAGAAAAACUUUUACAAACUCUGUUUGCUCUUGUUAUUGUAAAUAUGUAAAGCCAGCAUUCAAGUUUUCAGCAAAGAUUAUGAACUAACCAUAUUCACAAUAACACUUAGGUCUCAUGUUUACUCAUAUCAAUGGCAUAAUCAACUAGCGAGCAAUAAUAAUGAAUCUCGGAUGACAACACUUUCUCAAAACAAUUAUAAUAUGAUAUAACAAGAUGGUAUCUCGCUAGCCCUUUCUGAGACCGCAAAACAUAAAUGCAGAGCACCCUUAAAGAUCAAAGACUAACUAAACAUUGUAAUUCAUGGUAAAAGAGAUCCAGUCAAGUCAUAUUGAAUAUAAACUAAUAGUAAUGCAUGCAAAUGAUACCGGUGCUCUCCAGCGGGUGCUUUUUAAUAAGAGGGUGAUGACUCAACAUAAAAGUAAAUAGAUAGGCCCUUCGCAGAGGGAAGCAGGGAUUUGUAGAGGUGCCAGAGCUCUAUUUUAAAAUAGAGAUGAAUAACAUUUUGAGCGGUAUACUUUCACUAUCAACGUAACAACUAUGAGAUCUCGGUAUCUUCCAUGCUAAACACAUUAUAGGUGGUUCCCAAAUAGAAUGGUAAAGUUUGUACUCCCCCACCACCAACAAGCAUCAAUCCAUGGCUUGCCCGAAACAACGGGUGCCUCCAACUAGCAACAAUCCUGGGGGAGUUUUGUUUAAUUAUUUUGAUUUGAUUUGAUCUUUUGAUCAUGGGACUGGGCAUCCCGGUUACCAGCCAUUUUCUCGUGAAUGAGGAGCGGAGUCCACUCCUAUUGAGAAUAACCCACCUAGCAUGGAAGAUACGGACAUCGCUAGUUGAUACAUGAGCUGCUCGAGCAUACAAAACGGAAUUUCAUUUGAAGGUUUGGAGUUUGGUACAUACAAAUUUACUUGGAACGACAGAUAAAUACCGCAUAUAGGAAGGUAUGGUGGACUCAUAUGGAAUAACUUUGGGGUUUAUGGAGUUCGGAUGCACAAGAAGUAUUCCCACUUAGUACAGGUGAAGGCUAGCAAAAGACUGGGAAGCGACCAACUGAGAGAGCAACAGCAGUCAUGAACAUGCAUUAAAAUUAAUCAACACCAAGUGCAAGCAUGAGUAGGAUAUAAUCCACCAUGAACAUAAAUAUCGUGAAGGCUAUGUUGAUUUUGUUUCAACUACAUGCGUGAACAUGUGCCAAGUCAAGUCACUCGAGUCAUUCAAAGGAGGAUACCACCCUAUCAUACCACAUCACAACCACUUUAAUAGCAUGUUGGCACGCAAGGUAAACCAUUAUAAGCUCCUAGCUAAUUAAGCAUGGCAUAAGCAACUAUAAUCUCUAAUUGUUAUUGCAAUCAUGUUUAUUCAUAAUAGGCUGAAUCAGGAACGAUGAACUAAUCGUGUUUACAAAAACAAGAGAGGUCGAGUUCAUACCAGCUUCUCUCAUCUCAAUCAGUCCAUUAUAUAUCGUCAUUAUUGCCUUUCACUUGCACGACCGAACGGUGUGGAUAAUAAUAAUAGUGCAUGUGCAUUGGAAUAAGCUGGAAUCUGCAAGCAUUCAAUUCAAGGGGGAAGACAAGGUAAUAUGGGCUCUUGGUUAAAUCAACAAUCAUGCAUAUAAGAGCCACUUAAACAUUUUCAUUAUGGUCUUCUCCUCUCGACCCCCAAAGAACAGAAAAGACAUAAAACUAUUUACACGGGAAAGCUCGCAACAAGCAAAAGAAAUCUUUUUGGGUUUUCUUUUAAUUACUACUACAAGCAUGGAAAUUAAACUAACUAUUUUUUUGGUUUUUCUUAAGGUUUAUCAAACACACAAUAAAAAAACUAGAAAAAGAAAUUAAACUAGCAUGGAUAAUACAAUGAAAAAGUAUGAACACCAACAACUAGAAUGAGUGUGUGAACAUGAAUGUAAUGUCGGUGAGAAAUACGUACUCCCCCAAGCUUAGGCUUUUGGCCUAAGUUGUUCUAUGGCCAUGGACUGCGGCUACGCUCCCUGGUGUACUGAGGAGUGUCAUCAUACUGCCACUAGCUGGCGAUCUGCUCUGGAUCCCACUGAUAAGAUGAUGGACGUCAAGGGUCCAGUGGUGGUUCCAGCUCAGGCUCUAGAGCUGAUGCCUGGCCUCGGUGCACGUAAAUGGCCGCCAGCAAGAUGAGGUAAUGGCCUGCAGUUAAAUCAAACAAAGAGGGCGCAUGAAAGAUAAUAAACCCAUUGUGUUUCUUAUUAAAUCUCAAAUUGUACAGAAGCAUCUUAUCAUCAUUGUUAACAAUAAACUCAUGUGCUACCAUGCUUUUAUAAUCUAGAAAAGUAGGGGGCAGCAGUGUCUCCUCUUUCUCAUAAUGCCUAAUAGGUAUCUCGAAAUGUUUAGUAAGGCGAGCAACAUAGAUACCUCCAAAGAUAGGGCCCUUUGUACGGUUCAGACUUAACCAUUUAGCAAUAAUAGCACCCAUACUAGUAGAGUUGUCACGAAAUAAAGCAUGGAACAAAAUAAUAAUAUCAGGAACACCGAGGUUUCCAUAGUUUCCGCGACCAAUUAAACAUCGACUAGCAAAUAUGGCAAAGUAGCGUAAAACAGGAAAAUGUAUGCUAGUGAUUCUUGCAUCGGAAACCUUCCUCGAUUCCCCUAUAGUAAUAGUAUCAAUAAAACCAUCCACAUCUUUACGAUGUGGUUCCUCUAAGCUACCCUCGAAGGGUAUUCUGCAAACCGCGCAAAAAUUACGUAAUGACAUCUUCCUAGCCUCAUCAUAUAAAUGAAAAGCUACUAAAGGAGGUGAAUUCUUAGGAUAAUAAUAGAAGUUUUACACGAAAGUAUUGGUGAAUAAGAGAUAUUGUUUGAUCCGGUCGUGGAGGAAGUCGGUGAGGCCCGCAUUAUCAGCCAAAGAAUAAAAGUCUUCAUAAAUCCCAGCUGCUCUCAAGAAAUCAUCACAAGGCCAUUCACACGGCCGUACUUCCGCUACGCGAGGAAGAUUAUACUUGGCCUUUUCUUUCUCCUUAGCUUGUUUAUCCUUGGAGCCUUGGCUAGAAGAGCCCCUCAAAAAUAUCUUCAUCAUUUUCUGAAAAUUUCUGAAAUUUUUAGUAACUCAAAAUAGAAGUGAAUCAAACUCAACAAAAUUGAUAGCAACUACUCCCACAAGUGCCCAGAGCCUAUAUCAUGCAUUAGAAUUACUUGGGACCUCAUAAAUUUGACAUGCAAGCUCAAGAACAGGGCCACCUAUGCAGCAAAAAAUUGCAAUGAAUAGAGCACUAGAACAAAAACUAAUUGGACCAUUGGAGGAGUCACAUACCAAGGAACAAUCCCCCAAAGCAGCUUUGUGAAUGGAGCUUUGAGCAAGGAGAUCGAAAAUCAUAGGAAAAUGAGCUAGAACUCGUGCUUGAGCUGGAUGGUGAUUUUUUUGGGAGGAAGAAGAAGUUUGUGGGUGCAGGAAUAAGUGGAGGGAGGGCACCAUGGGCCCACGAGGUAGGGGGCACGCCCUAUAGGGGUGGGCGCGCCCUGGACCCUCGUGGCCAGGUGCCAGCUCCCCCUGUUGUGUUCUCAGUGCCAGAUAUUCUCAAAUAUUUCAGAAAAAAUCAUAUUAAAUUUGGAGGGCAUUUGGAGAACUUUUAUUUUCGGGAUAUUUUUUAUUGCAUGGAUAGUUCAGAAAACGGGGUAGAAAAUACUAUUUUUAAUUUAUUUAAUCUAAAUAACAGAAAGUAAAAGGAUGGUACAGAAGGUUGUGCCUUCUAGUUUCAUCCAUCUCAUGAUCAUCAAAAGGAAUCCACUAACAAGGUUGAUCAAGUCUUGUUAACAAACUCAUUCCGAAUAACAUGGAACUGGAGAAAUUUCGAACAACACUAGGUUACCUCAACGGGGAUAUGAACAUCCCCAAUAAUAAGAAUAUCAUAUUUCUUCUUGACAGUAGGAAGAGGAAAUUCAAAACCUCCAAUAAUGAUAGUUGGAUUUUUUUCCAAUAGAAUUGAUGUUAUGAACUUGAGGUUGUUUCCUCGGAAAGUGUACCAUAUGCUCAUUACCAUUAACAUGAAAAGUGACAUUGCCUUUGUUGCAAUCAAUAACAGCCCCUGCAGUAUUCAAAGAGGGUCUACCAAGGAUAAUCGACAUACUAUCGUCCUCGGGAAUAUCAAGAAUAACAAAGUCCGUUAAGAUAGUGACAUUUGCCACCACAAUAGGCACAUCCUCACAAAUACCGACAUGUAUAGCAGUUGAUUUAUCAGCCAUUUGCAAAGAUAUUUCAGUAGGUGUCAACUUAUUCAACUCAAGUCUAUGAUAUAAAGAGAGAGGCAUAACACUAACACCGGCUCCAAGAUCACAUAAAGAAGUUUUAACAGAGUUUCUUUUAAUGGAGCAUGGUAUAGUUGGUAUUCCCGGAUCUCCAAGUUUCUUAGGUAUUCCACCCUUAAAAGUAUAAUUAGCAAGCAUGGUGGAAAUUUCAGCUUCCGGUAUCUUUCUUUUAUUUGUAAUGAUAUCCUUCAUGUAUUUAGCAUAAGGAUUUACUUUAAGCAUAUCAGUUAAGCGCAUACGUAAGAAGAUAGGUCUAAUCAUUUCAGCAAAGCGCUCAAAAUCCUCAUCGUCCUUUUUCUUGGAUGGUUUAGGAGGAAAAGGCAUGGGUUUCUGAACCCAUGGUUCUCUUUCUUUACCGUGCUUCCUAGCAACAAAGUCUCUCUUAUCAUAACGUUGAUUCUUUGAUUGUGGGUUAUCAAGAUCAACAACAGGUUCAAUCUCUACAUCAUUUUUAUUGCUAGGUUGAGCAUCAACAUGAACAUUAUCAUUAACAUUAUCACUAGGUUCAUGUUCAUCACCAGAUUGUGUUUCAGCAUCAAAAAUAGAAAUAUCAUUGGGAUUCUCAGGUGUAUCAACAACAGGUUCACUAGAAGCAUGCAAAGUCCUAUCAUUUUUCCUUUUCUUCUUUUUAGAAGGACUAGGUGUAUCUAAAUUAUUUCUCUGAGAAUCUUGCUCAAUUCUCUUAGGGUGGCCUUCAGGAUACAAAGGUUCCCGAGUCAAUCUACCAGUUCUAGUAGCCACUCUAACAGCAAAAUCAUGUUUAUUAUUUAAUUCAUCGAGCAAAUCACUUUGAGCUUUAUGUACUUGUUCUGCUUGAGUGGUAACCAUAGAAGCAUAUUUACUAAUGAGUUUAAGUUCACCUUUAACUCUAGCCAUAUAAUCACUCAAGCUUCCAAUCAUGUAAGCAUUACUCUUUAAUUCUCUACCAACAUAAGCAUUGAAAUUUUCUUGUCUAGCCAUAAAGUCAUCAAAUUCAUCUAAACAUUGGCUAGGAAACAUAGUAGAUGGGAUUUCAACCUUAUCAUAUCUAUAGAGAGAAUUUACCUUUACUACCUGUGUCGGGUUAUCAAGACAAUGUGUUUCUUCAAUUGGUGGUAUAUUAAGACCAUGUAUUUCUUCAAUAGGAGGUAAAUUCUUAACAUCUUCAGCUUUAAUACCUUUUUCUUUCAUAGAUUUAUUUGCCUCUUGCAUAUCUUCAGGACUGAGGAAUAGAACACCCCUCUUCUUCCGAGUUGGUUUAGGAAUAGGCUCAGGAAUUGGCUCAGGAGUUGUCUCAAUUGGAUCAGGAAUUGGCUCAGGAAGAGUCCAAUGAUUUUCAUUAGUCAGCAUAUUAUUCAAUAGCAAUUCAGCUUGGUCGAUUGUUCUUUCCCUGAAAACACAACCAGCACAACUAUCCAAGUGGUCCUUGGAAGUAUCGGUUAGUCCAUUAUAAAAGAUAUCAAGUAUUUCAUUUUUCUUAAGAGGAUGAUCAGGCAAAGAAUUAAGUAAUCGGAGAAGCCUCCCCCAAGCUUGUGGGAGACUCUCUUCUUCGAUUUCCACAAAAUUAUAUAUUUCCCUCAAGGCAGCUUGUUUAUUAUGAGCAGGGAAAUAUUUAGCAGAGAAGUAAUAAAUCAUAUCCUGGGGACUACGCACACAACUAGGAUCAAGAGAAUUAAACCAAGUUUUAGCAUCACCCUUUAAUGAGAAUGUAAAUAUCUUAAGGAUAUAAUAGUAGCGAGAUUUCUCAUCAUUUGUGAACAGGGUGGCUAUAUCAUUCAACUUAGUAAGAUGUGCCACAAUAGUUUCAGGUUCAUUGCCAUAAAAAGGAUCAGAUUCAACCAAAGUAAUUAUCUCAGGAUCGACAGAGAAUUCAUAAUCCUUAUCAGUAACAAAGAUAGGUGAAGUAGAAAAAGCAGGGUCAUAUUUCAUUCUAGCAUUUAGAGAUUUCUGUUUCCAUUUAGCUAAUAACUUCUUAAGAUCAGAUCUAUCAUUGCAAGCAAGAAUAGCUCUAGUAGUUUCUUCAUCCAUAACAUAACCCUCUGGAACAACAGGCAAUUCAUACUUAGGGGGAGAACCUUCAUCAUCACUAUCUUCAGUAAUACCAGUUUCAAGUAUUUCAUUCACUCUAGCCCUAGCAAGUUGUUCAUCAAGAAAUUCACCUAAUGGGAAAGUAGUAUCAAGCACAGAAGUAGUUUCAUCAUAAGUAUCAUGCAUAGCAGAAGUGGCAUCAUCAAUAACAUGCGACAUAUAAGAAUUCAUAGCAGUAGGAGGUUUAGGUGUCGCAAGCUUACUCAAAAUAGAAGGAGAAUCUAGUGCAGAGCUAGAUGGCAGUUCCCUACCUCCCCUCGUAGUUGAGGGAAAAAUCUUAGUUCUUUCGUCUUUCAAGUUCCUCAUAGUGAUCAGCAGAUAUAAAUCCCAAGUGACUCAAAGAAUAGAGCUAUGCUCCCCGGCAACGGCGCCAGAAAAUAGUCCUGAUAACCCACAAGUAUAGAGGAUCGCAACAGUUUUCGAGGGUAGAGUAUUCAACCCAAAUUUAUUGAUUCGACACAAGGGGAGCCAAAGAAUAUUCUCAAGUAUUAGCAGUUGAGUUGUCAAUUCAACCACACCUGGAUAACUUAGUAUCUGCAACAAAGUAUUUAGUAGAAAAGUAGUAUGGAAGUAACGAUAACAAUGAUAAAAGUAACGGUAGCAGUUUUGUAGCAAUUGUAACAGUAGCAACGGUAAAGUAAAGAAGCAAAGCACAAUAUGUGAAAAGCUCGUAGGCAAUGGAUCAGUGAUGGAUAAUCAUGUCGGAUGCGAUUCCUCGUGUAAUAGUUAUAACAUAGGGUGACACAGAACUAGCUCCAGUUCAUCAAUGUAAUGUGGGCAUGUAUUUCGAAUAGAGUAAUACAUGCUUAUGGAAAAGAACUUGCAUGACAUCUUUUGUUCUACCCUCCCGUGGCAGCGGGGUCCUAAUCGAAACUAAGGGAUAUUAAGGCCUCCUUUUAAUAGAGUACCGGACCAAAGCAUUAACACAUAGUGAAUACAUGAACUCCUCAAACUACGGUCAUCACCGAGAAGUAUCCCGAUUAUUGUCACUUCGGGGUUGUCGGAUCAUAACACAUAAUAGGUGACUAUAGACUUGCAAGAUAGGAUCAAGAACUCACAUAUAUUCAUGAAAACAUAAUAGGUUCAGAUCUGAAAUCAUGGCACUCGGGCCCUAGUGAUAAGCAUUAAGCAUAGCAAAGUCAUAGCAACAUCAAUCUUAGAACAUAGUGGAUACUAGGAAUCAAACCCUAACAAAACUAACUUGAUUACAUGGUAAAUCUCAUCCAACCCAUCACCGUCCAGUAAGCCUACGAUGGAAUUACUCACGCACGACGGUGAGCAUCAUGAAAUUGGUGAUGGAGGAUGGUUGAUGAUGACGACGGCGACGAAUCCCCCUCUCCGGAGCCCAGAACGGACUUCAGAUCAGCCCUCGUGAGAGAGAUUAGGGCUUGGUGGCGGCUUCGUAUCAUAAAACGCGAUGAAACUUUCUCUCUGAUUUUUUCUCCACGGAAGCAAAUAUAUGGAGUUGGAGUUGAGGUCGGUUGACGUCCAGGGGGCCCACGAGGCAGGCGGCGCGCCCAGGGGGAGGGGGCGCUCCCCCCAGCCUCGUGGACAGGGUGUGGGCCCCCUGACGCUAUUUCUUUCGCUAGUAUUUUUUAUUAAUUCUAAAAAGUUGCUCCGUGGAUUUUCAAGUCAUUUCGAGAACUUUUAGUUCUGCACAAAAAUAACACCAUGGCAGUUCUGCUGAAAACAGCGUUAGUCCGGGUUAGUUCCAUUCAAAUCAUGCAAGUUAGAAUCCAAAACAAGGGCAAAAGUGUUUGGAAAAGUAGAUACGACGGAGACGUAUCAGGGGGAAUCCUACUAGGAGUGGAUUCCUAGUAGGACUCCCGCAUGACGCGCCCCUCCUGGCCGGCCGCCUCCUCCUCCCCUCCUUUAUAUACGGGAGCGGGGGGCACCCGAGAGGCACAUCAAUUGUUCUCUUAGCCGUGUGUGGUGCCCCCUCCAUAGUUUACACCUCCGGUCAUAGCAUCGUAGUGCUUAGGCGAAGCCCUGCAUGGAACACAUCACCAUCACUGUCACCACGUCGUCGUGCUGACGAAACUCUCCCUCGACCCUCUGCUAGAUCAAGAGUUUGAGGGACGUCAUCAAGCUGAACGUGUGCUGAACUCAGAGGUGCCGUAUGUUCGGUACUAGAUCGGUUGGAUCGUGAAGACGUUUGAUUACAUCAACUGCGUUAACCUAACACUUCCGUUUUCGGUCUACGAGGAUACAUGGACUCACUCUCCCCCUCUCGUUGCUAUGCAUCUCCUAGAUAGAUCUUGCGUGAUCGUAAGAAUUUUUUUGAAAUUGCAUGCUACGUUCCCCAACAGUGGUAUCCGAGCCAUGUCUGUGCGUAGAUGAUAUGCACAAGUAAAACACAAAGAGUUGUGGGUGAUAAUAGUCAUACUGCUUACCACCAACGUCUUACUUUGAUUCGGCGGUAUUGUUGGAUGAAGCGGCCCGGUCCAACAGUACAUAACCACGUUCAUGAGACCGGUUCUACCGACGUGCUUUGCACACAGGUGGCUGGCGGGUGUUUGGUUCUCCAACUUUAGUUGAAUCGAGUUUGACUACGGCCGGUCCUUGUUGAACGUUAAAACAACACACUUGACGAAAAAUCAUUGUGGUUUUGAUGAGUAGGUAAGAAUAGUUCUUGCUAGAAGCCUGUAGCAGCCAUGUAAAACUUUCAAUAACAAAGUAGAUGACGUCUGACGGUGUCCUGGACUAGGGGGUACUCACCACGUCGUCUCCCGAUUAGUUGGAUUGGGCCGAGGACCCCCAUGGCCGUAUACUCAUGGGCCAGUCCGGACAGCUGCCGCAUACAAGGAAGAAUCCACAAGACUUGGCGAUCAAGACAAGGACUCCUCCCCCACCGGCGUAUUCGGCUAGGACUCUUGUUAUCCUAGGCCUCUGGUGCAUUAUAUAAACCGAGGCCAGGCUAGUCGAUAAAGAGACAACAAUCAUACCAUAGGCUAGCUUCUAGGGUUUAGCCUCUCUGAUCUCGUGGUAGAUGUACUCUUGUACUACCCAUAUCAUCAAUAUUAAUCAAGUAGGAGUAGGGUUUUACCUCCAUCGAGAGGGUCCGAACCUGAGUAAACAUUGUGUCCCUUGCUUCCUGUUACCAUUCAUCCUAAGACGCACUGCUUGGGACCCCCUACCCGAGAUCCGCCGGUUUUGACACCGACAUUGGUGCUUUCAUUGAGAGUUCCGCUAUGUGAUCGGCGAAAGGAUCAAUGGCUCGACUGUAGGUCAACUGCGACGUCGGCUUCUUCGUCACCAGCUCGACUGGUCACCUUGGCUUGACCGAGGACUGCGCCCUACCUCCGAUCAUCAUGUUCGGAUGAGGGCCUUCAUCAACACCAACUCCAAUCUCUAUCAAGAUCAUGGAGGAGUCAUCCAUGGAGCUCGGGGGCUCAACGUCAACAUUGCCCUCAGGCGACCGUGCUAUUUUUCUGGAGAGCAAACUUGUAUCCGCCGCCACCACCUCCUCGAGUGUCGCCUAAACGAUUACUUCAGUGGAAUUAUGCGGAAUUAAGUCUACAACAACCCUGCAAAAAUUUCGUCGAGUUCCGAUGGAGGAAUCCCCGGCAAUCUCCGAUGUACCGGAGCCCCGUUGAAUCUGGAUGAGAAUCCAGACAAGUUUAGGGCGUGGUAUCCAGCAUCUAGCUCGGAUGUCCUUUGGAGGAUCCAACCGUUGAUUUGCUACAGAAUUCCCAUAUCUACCACCUGCCAAAAAUUCAGCUCGAUCCGACCGUCCAAACUCCGGGAAACUUCCGAUUAGUGCAUCACUUUUUGGAUCUGUUUUCUGCGCGAGAACGAAUCCGAGCCGAAUUCAUCUUCUUUAUGAACGGGAUCUCGGACAUCCUUUUUGAAGGAAGUUUUCUUAUGGGGUGUUGUGUUUUAUUCUCAAACACAUCCCAGUAGUAUCAAAAGUAUUCUUGCAAUACGAACUUCAUCGUCGCGCCGGUGUCAAACCAGCCCGACAACAUCACUCCACGGCGGUCGACCUGCGUUAGACACGUCGUCGCUUUGUUGAGCCGAGCUCAAUUUCUUCGGAUCAUCAUCUCGGCCAGCCGAACAAUAUUUCGGCAUCGCGAAGGAUAAAUCGUCACCAACAUCGCCACCCCACGGAUUACACGGAGCGGGCACACCUGCAUCGCCACACGGUCACUUCAUCAAGCCGGCAUCGACCACGUCACGACCUGCAUAGCUGGACCGAGGGCUUUGCCUCGGCGAGCCAACCUUUGCCAGCUUCGCCAUGCCGUUGCUUUAUCGCCUAUCAGGCGAUAGGUGUGCGGAUCGUGUCCCAAUUUUGGGAAUCACCUUUCUUCGGAUUGCUACAACAAAUAAGCCAGGUGCUAUUAAUCCUAGUAUUUUUUGCUUGUUAGGGUUCAUUUUUUCCAAUGAAUUAUUACUCUGGUUUGUCCGUCAUAUGUAUGCAGGUUUAUCAAAUGGUGGCCGCAUUAACGAUGGUCGCAUGGUGGUUCGGUCAGUUUCCGUACAUAGUCCGGCGAACGCCGCAUCCGGAACUCGAACCGACCUGUGAAUUCAGGCCUUGCCAUGCCCUUACUACAUCAUGCCGCCGCCCUGCAUCGACAUUAACUUUGGCGCCAGGCCAUAUUUCUUUUAUUACUUACUUUGCAUACAUUAUUUGUUAUGCAACGAUUUUUUUUAUUUAUUUUUUUAUUUUUAUUACUAUUAUCUUCGGUUUGCACUAUUUUUUGUGCACAGGAAAAUGAUCCAGCCGGACUAUAUCCUUUGGCGUCACCUCGGCUGGACGGGGGCCAGGGACUUCGGCAUCACCCUGCCGUCCUGCAUUGACCGUGCUAUGUCACCACUUCGGAGUGCCGAGCUCUUUGCUCCGCCACUUCGGGACCGGCUCGGGGAUGGAACCUUGUCCCGCAUCAAGCUCGGACCGCAUCAUCAAUACCGAACACAUUAACCAGCUAAGUUGUCUUCAUGCUCAAAGUUUUAAAUUUUUAACUUGUGUUCGGCUCAGCCAAGCAUUAUACUUUUUUGGAAAAAAAGUUGCUUGUAAAAAUUUCCUUGUCCAAACUUUGUUUGUGACGCGCAAAUUGAAAUACCCCGUUUACUUGGGGGCUUCCUUCAUGAAGCUUUUUCCUCUUGCAUAUGAUUAUACUUGUACGGCUUCGUUCCUUGUUCGUGUAUUACGCCACAAUAUGCACCAUAUUGACUUAAGCGAUUUGCAAGCUGGGUUGCCUGGCUCCUGUGCUUACCCCUACAUUCCCGAUUGUUCGGUUAGGGAGUAAAGGGAGCACCUCUGCGAUUGUCACGAUCGGGUCAACCGAGCCGGACCUCAGACUGGGUGAAGCCGAAAGCUAGCGCUCUUAUUGUUUUCAAUCAUGGUCGGCACACAACGGAACUCAUGAGUACAAAAAAUCUAUUGCACAAGUCUCAUAAUAACAAUGAGCAUCGAAGAAAGGUAUCGGUGGGGGUACUAUUUUCUUCGAAGAUGCUUCUUACAAUUCGCAGUAAUAUAGCAUAAGUUCCCUGAGCGCGCUUUGUCUGUUAUAGCCUUAUGGCCUGAUUGCCUAGUUAUUGGAAACACCGUCGAUAUUCUCGACAGAUGGAGUACAUAACACUUUCCGGUCCUUGAUCGAAGAGGGAGAAGCCGACGGUCGGUUAAGACGCGUUUAAAGUUCGGUUGAACAUAGAUAUGAUAUAAGUACUUCGGUACAUGCAAUCAUUCUUUUACGCAAGUCACUUGGGGGCUCUUAAAUUUAUAUGAGCCGUUUUAUGAUAAGUGUUUUUCUUCUUAGUCGUUGCAAAGUUUUUAUUAUUAUUUCUCACUCCUUUUUUCGACACAAGUGUGCGGUCGCUAGCGGGGGAGCCUAAUUUCUCUCUCAAAGCCGCUAGAGUCUAGUUUGCUAAACGGGCCUAGUAAGAAGUACUCUGCCUUCGGGAUAGGAGGUUGAAGCUGUAGGCUGACCCGCUUGAAGUUUUGAGAUAGGAUGUGUCAUGUUAAAGCACGGCAGAAGCACCUUUUUUUCUAAAGUCCAAUUUUCGGAUUGGCACCGAACACUUGAUCUAGUUCGGACAUUAACCUUUUGAAUAAGUUUUUUCGCUUUUCGAGCCCAUGGCACUUUCAAACUAUUUGUGUAUUUUCAACAGAAGUCUCGCAGUGCAACGCCGAACACCUUUAGGGAUUCGGCAAAAACAUUCUCGGAUAUUGCUAUAUAUGCAUCGGUUUUGAAUUGUGUCUUCGGUCAAUAGUUGGGUUGCCCGGCUCCUGCGCUUGCUUCCUAUGUUCAGCUUUGUUCGGCUAGGUGUGCAAAGGGAGAACCACUGCGAUUGUGCUUCCAGCUCACAUGGUUAAGCACCUUAGUGGAGAAAGCCGAAAAUUGACUGUCACAAUAAGCGUAAACUGGUGCGAUCCGAUGACGGCGUUAAAACGACGGGCCAUUCAUAACAAUGGCCGAAGUGUUUACGGCUUGACCUCGACUGUCGCCGAACACUACUGGGGACUAUUAACUGGCCUCCCAAACUAAAUCCUCAAUAUUUUGCUCUUACAUUGGAGCUGAGGUUUCAUGAUCAUGCUUAGCAUGACAACCCAAAUAAAGGAACCGAUAGCGGGACUAUUUUCUUUGGAAGACAUUUCUUCUGUUAAACAGUAAUAUAACAUGUCUCUCCGCGUACCUUUGUUUAUAAAACCGUAUGGCCAUAUUGCCUUGUUUGUUGUAAAUCUUUGCCCUCAUAAAGGCAUUAUAAAGUAGGAUAAACACUCCUCGGCUAUUAGCCGAGGAGGUGGAAGCCGAUGGUCGGUCAACAAAGUUUUGUACAAUGCGGAUCUGAGCAUUAAUGACGUAAAGUACUUGGAUACAUAGAGUCAUUACACAUAAUUUGUGAUUUUACUAGGGAUAUCGAUCCUUAAUUCGGCCUCCCGUGCCUGCAUUAAGGCUCGGGGGCUACUGGGCUUCGGGCUUAUUAUUUACAAAUAUUAAAGGGGCACAUCGAUCCCCUGAUCUGGUAUUGCCACCCGACCAGUGUCUCGGGGGCUACUGCAUUGCCUGUUCUAUGCAGAAAAUUUUAAGUGCAAUACAGUUUCCGAGGAGGUUUUGAUCCUCAGGUUGGUCGGCCGCACCCAACCUGAGUCUCGAGGACUGAGCAUGCUGCUUUUUUUGUCCCGAAGUAUUCUGCCGAGCUAGGACUUGAUCCUCAGACCGAUUUUGCAAAUCAACCUGAGUCUCAGCAGCUACGGGGAUCAACGGUGUUAUGUCAUCCUUCAUGUGCAUCUCGGGUUUUAGACCGAUACCCACCUUGAGGGCUACUGGGACCAAUCAAAAAUAUUGACAAAAAUUGGCCCACAUUCGGGGUGGUGCACCACCUCGGAAGCAGUCCGGCAUAAAGCUCAGGUGCUAGUGGCUGGCUCCAUAGAGGGCAUUUCCGGCAUUAAGCUCGGCUAAACUCCUUCAAACCUCUUUGAACCAAGGUGAUUUACGACACCUCGGAUACAGUUCGGCGUUGGAGCUCGGAUACAUAGUCCGGCGUUGGAGCUCGGAUACAUAGUCCGACGUUAGAGCUGGGAACCAGUCCGGCAUUGGUGCUCGGCUGCAAAAGAUACCUCGAAUGCAGUCCGGCGUUGGAGCUCGGACGCAAGAGGACGUUACCUCCCGGGAACAACUUCAAACCCGAGGUGUGGCAUAAAAAUAACAAGGCAUUGAUAAAGGCCAGAAACUUAAAGGGGCUCCUCGGAUACCCGACGUGUAAACUCGUCGAAUGCAUUUCGGCGAUCCUCAAGAUAGAAGAUGAGAAGAUUUGUUGAACCAGUUUUCAAGACCGGCAACCGAAGAUGAAGAACAGUUCGGAAGAAUCGAGGAGCGUCCCUAACUUGAAGACCGGUUCAGGGGGCUACUGACGGUGUCCUGGGCUAGGGGGUACUCAACGCGUCGUCUCCCGAUCAGUUGGAUUGGGCCGAGGACCCCCAUGGCCGUAUACUCAUGGGCCAGUCCGGACAGCUGCCGCAUACAAGGAAGAAUCCACAAGACUUAGCGAUCAAGACAAGGACUCCUCCCCCACCGGCGUAUUCGGCUAGGACUCUUGUUAUCCUAGGCCUUUGGUGCAUUAUAUAAACCGAGGCCAGGCUAGUCGAUAGAGAGACAACAAUCAUACCAUAGGCUAGCUUCUAGGGUUUAGCCUCUCUGAUCUCGUGGUAGAUCUACUCUUGUACUACCGAUAUCAUCAAUAUUAAUCAAGAAGGAGUCGGGUUUUACCUCCAUCGAGAGGGCCCGAACCUGGGUAAAGAUUGUGUCCCUUGGAUCCUGUUACCAUUGGUCCUAAGACGCACUGCUUGGGACCCCCUACCCGAGAUCCGCCGGUUUUGACACCGACAACGUCUAACUUGUUUUUGCAGGGCAUAUUGUGAUGUGAUAUGGCCAAGACAUGAUGUGAUAUAAGUUAUUGUAUGAGAAGAUCAUGUUUUGUAAAAGUUAUCGACAACUGGCAGGAGCUUUAUGGUUGUUUCUUUAUUGUAUGAAAUGCAAUCGCCAUGUAAUUGUUUUACUUCAUCACUAAGCGGUAGCGAUAGUCAUAGAAGCAAUAGUUGGUUAGAUGACAAUGAUGCUAUGAUGGAGAUCAAGGUGUCAAGCCGGUGACAACGGAGAUCAUGACGGUGCUUUGGAGAUGGAGAUCAAAGGCACAAGAUGAUGAUGGCCAUGUCAUGUCACAUAUUUUGAUUGCAUGUGAUGUUUAUCUUUUAUGCAUCUUAUUUUUGCUUAGUAUGGCGGUAGCAUUAUAAGAUGAUCCCUCACUAAAUUUCAAGGUAUAAGUGUUCUCCUUGAGUAUGCACCAUUGCUAUAGUUCGUCGUGCCAAGACACCACGUGAUGAUCGGGUGCGAUAAGCUCUACGUUCACAUACAACGGGUGCAAGCCAGUUUUGCACGUGCAGAAUACUCGAGUUAAACUUGACGAGCCUAGCAUAUGCAGAUAUGGCCUCGGAACACUGAGACUGGAAGGUCAAACGUGAACCGUAUAGUAGAUAUGAUCAACAUAGAGAUGUUCACCAUUGAAAACUAUUCCAUCUCACGUGAUGAUCGGACAUGGUUUAGUUGAUAUGGAUCACGUGAUCAUUUAGAUGACUAGAGGGAUGUCUAUCUAAGUGUGAGUUCUUAAGUAAUAUGAUUAAUUGAACUUUAAUUUAUCAUGAACUUAGUCCUGAUAGUAUUUGCAAAUUAUGUUGUAGAUCAAUAGCUCGCGUUGUUGACACCCUGUUUUUUGAUAUGUUCCUAGAGAAAAAUAAGUUGAAAGAUGAUAGUAGCUAUGAUGUGGACUGGGUCCGUGAUCUGAGGCUUAUCCUCAUUGCUGCAUAGGAGAAUUAUGUCCUUGAUGCACCGCUAGGUGACAGACCUAUUGCAGGAGCAAAUGCAGACGUUAUGAAUGUUUGGCUACCUAAAUAUGAUGACUACUUUAUAGUUUAGUGCACCAUGCUUUAUGGCUUAGAAUCGGGACUUCAAAAAUGUUUUGAACGCCACAGAGCAUAUGAGAUGUUCCAAGAGCUGAAAUUGGUAUUAGACUCAUGCCCGUGUCGAGAGGUAUGAAACCUCUAACAAGUACUUCACCUAAAAGAUGGAGGAGAAUAGCUUAGCUAGUGAGCAUGUGCUCAGAAUGUCUGGGUACUACAAUUCCUUGAAUCAAGUGGGAGUCAAUCUUCCAGAUAAGAUAGUGAUUGACAGAGUUCUCUAGUCACCAUCACCAAGUUAUUGGAACUUCGUGAUGAACUAUAAUAUGCGAGGGAUGAUGAAAGCAAUUCCUGAGCUCUUCGUAAUGCUGAAAUUGAUGAAGGUAGAAAUCAAGAAAAAACAUCAAGCGUUGAUGAUUAAACAAGACCACUAGUUUCAAGAAAAGGGCAAAGCUAAAGAAUGGGAACUUCAAGAAGAAUGGCAAGCAAGUUUUCACUCCCGUGAAGAAGCCCAAAAGCUGGACCUAAGCCUAAAACUGAGUGCUUCUACUGCAAAAUAAAUGGUCACUGGAAGCGAAACUACCCCAAAUAUUUGGCGGAUAAGAAGGAUGGCAAAGUGAACAAAGGUAUAUUUGAUAUACAUGUUAUUGAUGUGUACCUUACUAGUGCUCGUAGUAGCCCCUGGGUAUUUGAUACUUGUUCGGUUGCUAAGAUUAGUAACUCGAAACAGGAGUUGUAGAAUAGAUAGAGACUAGUUGAGGGUGAAGUGACGAUGUGUGUUGGAAGUGGUUCCAAGAUUGAUAUGAUGAUCAUCGCACACUCCCUAUACUUUCGGGAUUAGUGUUGAACCUAAAUAAAUGUUAUUUGGUUUUUGCGUUGAGCAUGAAUAUGAUUAGAUCAUGUUUAUUGCAAUACGGUUAUUCAUUUAAGACAAAGAAUAAUUGUUAUUCUGUUUACAUGAAUAAAACAUUCUAUGGUCGUACACCGAAUGUUAAUGGUUUAUUUAAUCUCGAUCGUAGUGAUACACAUAUUCAUAAUAUUGAUGCCAAAAGAUGCAAAGUUGAUAACGAUAGUGUAACAUAUUUGUGGCACGGCCAUUUGGGUCAUAUCGGUGUAAAGCGCAUGAAGAAACUCCAUGAAGAUGGAAUUUUGGAAUCUCUUGAUUAUGACUAAAACUCCGUUCUCCGGAACAAUGGAGCGAGCUAGUGACUUAUUGGAAACAAUACAUACCGUUUGGGUCAUACUGAACAAACCAAUUUUCUCAAAUACUAGGACAUAUUUAAUGCACAAUUGAGCAAAUGGUUGGGUGUAAAAAGUUUUGAUCCACCUCUGGUGAAAAAGACAAAUUUCCGCCGAUUCAGUUGGAAGUGGGUCAUAUUUGAACUGUAGCUGCCUCAUAGUUUGCUCUUUAUUUUUUCCAAAAAUCAUUUCUAGGUACAUAAGUAUCUAUUUAAUCAGAGAAACACCAAAACAAUUUCAAGAUUUAACAACUAGCUAGGAACAGUCAUUCCCGCUAUUUUGGCUGCAUUUUGAAACGGGCAUAAAAAAUUCAAAAAAAUCAAAAAAUUGAAAAACCUUCGCAUUGUGUCAUUAUAUGUGACCAAGUCACCAGGAAAAGUAAUAAACUUGUAAUACGGCAAUUGUUUUAAAAAGGUGCUCUCAGAAAUGAGCUAUCAUGUGUGAAGAUUCAUGGGUUUAAAGCGAGAUUAUCAAUCUUAUGGCCACAUUCCUGUCAUGGUUUGUUCAAAUGAUUUAAUAUUGUGCAGAAGGGUGCAUAUUGCAAUGAAAAACAAUGUUGCCUAAGAAAGUUUUCAUUUUCUUUGGACGAAAAAUCAUUUUUCAUUUUUUGAGUGCCCAAAAUGAGGUUUUUUUGUGAAGAACCUGUCAAAUAAUUGUUGCAAAAUUGGACCAAAUAAAUUUUCUAAUAUACUAGGCCAUAUUUAAUGCACAAUUGACAAAAUGUUUGGGUGUCAAAAGUAUUGAUCCACCUCUCGUGAAAAAGACAAAUUUGAACUGCAACUGCCUCAUAGUUUGCUCCUUAUUUUUUCCAAAAAUCAUUUGUAGGUACAUAAGUAUCUAUUUAAUCAGAGAAACACCAAAAAAUCCAAUAUUCAACCAGUAGCUCGGAACGGUCAUUCGCGACGUUUUGACCGCAUUUUGAAACGGGCAUAAAAAAUUCAAAAAAGAAAUCAAAAAAUUGGAAAACCUUCGCAUCAUGUCAUUACAUGUGACCAAGUUACCAGGAAAAAUAAUAAACUUGUAAUACGGCAAUUAUUUUAAAAAUUGUUCUCAGAAAUGAGCUAUCAUGUGUGAAAAUUCAUGGCUUUCAACCCAAAUGCUCAAUCUUAUGGCCACAUUCAUGGCAUAGUUUGUUUAAAUGAUCUAAUAUUGUGCACAAGGGUGCAUCUUGGAAUGACAAACAAUGUUGCCUAAGGAAGUUUUCAUUUUAUUUGGACGAAAAACUCAUUUUCCAUUUUUUAAGUGCACAAAAUGAGUUUUUUUUGUGAAGGACCUACCAUAUAUUUGUUGCAAACUUGGACCAAAUCAAUUUUAUAAAAUAUUAGGUCAUAUUUAAUGCACAAUUGACAAAAUGGUUGGGCGUCAAAAGUUUUGAUCCACCUCUCGUGAAAAAGACAAAUUUCCGCCGAUUCAGUAGGAAAUGGGUCAAAUUUGAACUGCAGCUGCCUUAUAGUUUGCUCUUUAUUUUUUUCCAAAAAUCAUUUAUAGUUACAUAAGUAUCUAUUUAAUCAUAAAUAUCUGGUUUGGUGACGAUAUGUCGUGGUUUGGACGAUGGCCGAGGGCCCCAACUCCAGAGCACGUAAACUCGCAUGCCCGCCGCAUGGUCACCGCGUGACCAUGGCGUUGCCAUGCGUUUUGGGCAGCCUAGGCAUCUCUAGUAGGUUGGGCACUCCCCAGGUAGGUGCCAGGAAGAAAAUGAUAACAGAAGAUUCUCAGCAAGAGACCGGACUAUGCUCAAAAAUGAAUUAGCAUCCAAGUGUUUGAUUAGUCACUACUAGAAAAAGGCUUAUCCCCAAUAUCUCUACUAGUGGCGCACCAUGAUGGUGGUGCGCCACUGCUAUAUAGCAGUGGCGCAUCAGAAUCAGGUGCGUCGUUGCUAUGUUUUUACUAAUGGCGCACCACAUGAGCAGUGCGCCAUUGCUAUUUUUUUGGUCCCACUAGUAGAAAAGGGGGCAAUGGUCCAGGCCAGGUCAGCCCAUUAGUCCCGGUUCAAUCCAGAACCGGGACCCAUGGGGGCAUUGGAACCGGUUCGUGAGCCCCGGGGGCCGGCCGGGCCACGUGGGCCAUUGGCCCCGGUUCGUCUGGACCUUUUGGUCUCGGUUGGUGGGACGAACCGGGACUAAAGGGCCUCGCUCCUGGCCCACCACCAUUGGUCCCGGUUGGUGGCAUGAACCGGGACCAAAGUUUGCCCUUUAGUCCCGGUUCGUGCCACGAACCGGGAUUAAAGGGUUGGUCCUCGUUGCGGUCAGAGUUUAGUCCCACCUCGCCAACCGAAGGGCGCUCACACCAGUCAUUAAAAAUAAGCAUCUAUGCUCAUUUUUUUAGUAAAGUUAAUCAUAACUAUUUUUUCUUCAAUUUAUUUCUGAGUAGUUUUUUAUAUAGUUUUUCUUUCUUUUCUGCUAUAUUUAUUUUNNNNNNNNNNNNNNNNNNNNNNNNNNNNNNNNNNNNNNNNNNNNNNNNNNNNNNNNNNNNNNNNNNNNNNNNNNNNNNNNNNNNNNNNNNNNNNNNNNNNNNNNNNNNNNNNNNNNNNNNNNNNNNNNNNNNNNNNNNNNNNNNNNNNNNNNNNNNNNNNNNNNNNNNNNNNNNNNNNNNNNNNNNNNNNNNNNNNNNNNNNNNNNNNNNNNNNNNNNNNNNNNNNNNNNNNNNNNNNNNNNNNNNNNNNNNNNNNNNNNNNNNNNNNNNNNNNNNNNNNNNNNNNNNNNNNNNNNNNNNNNNNNNNNNNNNNNNNNNNNNNNNNNNNNNNNNNNNNNNNNNNNNNNNNNNNNNNNNNNNNNNNNNNNNNNNNNNNNNNNNNNNNNNNNNNNNNNNNNNNNNNNNNNNNNNNNNNNNNNNNNNNNNNNNNNNNNNNNNNNNNNNNNNNNNNNNNNNNNNNNNNNNNNNNNNNNNNNNNNNNNNNNNNNNNNUAUGCUCAUUUUUUUAAUAAAGUUAAUCACAACUAUUUUUUCUUCUAUUUAUUUCUGAGUAGUUUUUUAUAUAGUUUUUUUCUUUUCUGAUAUAUAUAUAUAUAUAUAUAUAUAUUUCUAUUUAUUUCUGAGUUGUAAUAAGUCAUUAAAAAUAAGCAUCUAUGCUCAUUUUUUUAGUAAAGUUAAUCACAACUAUUUUUUCUUCUAUUUAUUUCUGAGUUGUAAUAAGUCAUUAAAAAUAAAAAAGAGGCGCAAUGCUCGUUAAUUAGCUUCAAGCCUUUCGGAAUAGUGUAAUUGCACUGCACAUAGCUCCGUGCAGUCUACCUUAUUCCUCAAGGCUUGAAGCUAAGCAACAUGCAGGUGAGCAUUGAGCCUCUUCUUCAUCGUCUCUGCACUCAGGGCUUAUAAACAGUUGCGAGUGCCUCUCGCUAGGCGAGGUGGGACUAAAAAAAUAGCUGCAAAAAUAAUCAACUAAAAAACAGCUGCAGAAAAUAAAUAAGUAAUUAGACGAGUCCGUUGGUACCGGUUGGUGGCAACAAACGGGACCAAUGCCCCUCUUUAGUCCUGGUUGGUGGCACCAACCGGGACCAAUGCCCCUCUUUAGUCCCGGUUUGGGGCACCAACCGGGACCAAAGGUCUUUGUUUCCCGCCCUUUGGGCUGCUGAAAAGAGGCCUUUGGUCCCAUUUGGUGGCUCCAACCGGGACUAAAGGGUGCAUUGGUCCCGGUUUGCAUCACGAACCGGGACCAAAGCCUUUGCUAUAUAAGUAGCACUUAGGAAAAUUUCUCAACCGCGCAUCCCCACUUCGAUCUCCUCUCCCCCGACGGCGGCGAAUCCAUCCCGAUGUCGUCAGGCUGCCCGAGCCGCCCCGACGCCGUCGUCCCCUGCCGACCCGCCGUCGUCGCCGCCCCGCCCCGCCCCGACGCCGCCGUCCACUGCNNNNNNNNNNNNNNNNNNNNNNNNNNNNNNNNNNNNNNNNNNNNNNNNNNNNNNNNNNNNNNNNNNNNNNNNNNNNNNNNNNNNNNNNNNNNNNNNNNNNNNNNNNNNNNNNNNNNNNNNNNNNNNNNNNNNNNNNNNNNNNNNNNNNNNNNNNNNNNNNNNNNNNNNNNNNNNNNNNNNNNNNNNNNNNNNNNNNNNNNNNNNNNNNNNNNNNNNNNNNNNNNNNNNNNNNNNNNNNNNNNNNNNNNNNNNNNNNNNNNNNNNNNNNNNNNNNNNNNNNNNNNNNNNNNNNNNNNNNNNNNNNNNNNNNNNNNNNNNNNNNNNNNNNNNNNNNNNNNNNNNNNNNNNNNNNNNNNNNNNNNNNNNNNNNNNNNNNNNNNNNNNNNNNNNNNNNNNNNNNNNNNNNNNNNNNNNNNNNNNNNNNNNNNNNNNNNNNNNNNNNNNNNNNNNNNNNNNNNNNNNNNNNNNNNNNNNNNNNNNNNNNNNNNNNNNNNNNNNNNNNNNNNNNNNNNNNNNNNNNNNNNNNNNNNNNNNNNNNNNNNNNNNNNNNNNCGCCGCCCCGCGCCGUGAGCAACUUUUUAUAAUUUUUGUUAGAUUUUGUUAGAUUAUUUUUAGAUUUCUUUGUAGUUCAUAGAUUUUUUUGUUAGAUGUGUAGUAAUUUAGAUGUGUAGUUCAUAGAUUUUUUUCAUAUUGUGUAAUUAAUUUGUUCAUAUUGUGUUAGAAUUUUUUUCUGUUAAUAGAUUUGUUUGGUGAUAUUAUUGUUGAAUAUGCACUUUUGUAUGUUCAUAUAUAUGCAAAGAUUGAAUAUGUCAAAUUUUUAUGAUUUUUUUCUGUUCAUAGAAUUUUUAUGAUUUUUUUCUGUUGUAAUUUUGUUCAUAGAAUUUUAAUGAUUUUUUUGUUCAUAGUAUUUAGAAAAAGGAAAAAAAUAAGAAGAGAAAGUGUUUAAUAUAAUUAGUUAAAAAAAUACUGGUUUAUUUUUAGUAAGUACUACUUUAUUUUAUUUAUAGUAAGUGCUUCAUAUAUAGUUGAACUAGCUAGUUGAUUUAAUAAACUACUUCAUUUUACAUAUAUAGAAGUAGUUUGUUUUUAGUAAGUACUACUUUAUUUAUUUAUAGUAAGUGUUUAGUAGUUGAACUAGCUAGUUGAUUUAAUUAAUAAAACUGCUUUAUUUAACUAUAUAUAGAAGUAGUUCCCGCAUCGACGUCAGUGAUGCCUAUCCCGCAUCCUCGUCGUCGUCGACUCGGCGGUGGAGGCCUGCUUGAUCAGGGCCAUGUUCGGGACUGGGCUCCACCGGGCUAGUAUUGGGAGGUGCUACCUUCCGGGGGACGUAGGUUGGUGAGGAGGCAGCCCGUUGUUGACCCGAUCCUUGUUUGGUGGCGGUCGCGUGGGCCAGUGACGGUGCCGAGGCUUCCGGACACCGCGGAGGUGGUACGUCACUGUGUUAGCGAGGAGGACGAGCACGUCCGCCAGUACAUGGUUGCAUUGGAGGGCAGGUUCUUCAGGGAUCUCACUGGAGCUAUGAUCUUGUGAUGGUUCCUUAUCUUUGGGUGUCCACCGCCCGCGACGAUACCCGUCGGGCGCUACGGUUCUAGUUGUAUUAGUGAUGCUAUAUUAGUGUAAUAAUGCACUCGGGAAUGAAAGGAGGAAAAGUUCUCCUUCAUUCCCGUGUGCUAGACAAUUUGGUGUAAUAAUGCACUCGGGAAUGAAAGGAGGAGCUACGUACAUCACCGAUAGUCAACCCGUGAUUAAUAAUAAUGAUCUAGUUUAAUAUUUGAAUUAUGAACAUAGGCCGGAAAUGACGUACUCGGACGACGAAAACCGCCCAGGGGAGUGCGACUCGUGCCACGAUGACCGAGGUAUGUGCGACAGGUUCAUUGAGCUGGACGUAGAUCAGCGCUUCAGCAUUAAGCUCGAGAAGACCUUCAAUGUUCAUACGGUACGCAACGACGACAAUAGUUUUUUCGUAAUUAAGCACGACUUCAACUAUUUUAACGUGUAUUUUUCAUCUUUUCCAAUUUGACUAGCUUAUCCCAUGCUAUGCAAGACGCUAUGUCUUGGAGAGGAUGGGUUUCGAAGACCAUGAAAGUAUGGAAACCAAAAAAAUUCUCCUAAGUACCCAUCAUGGUGUGGAUUUUCAAGUAAAGCUGUAGAAUGCUGAGAGUGUAACCCAUUUUGGUUGCAAAAAUUGGGAAGCACUUUGCAAGAUGUAUGGUUUUGAUGAGGGUAUGCUUGUCACCAUGGAUCUUGGUGAUCCUACAAUCGAGCAAGACAGACCUUCGAUUUGGGUCCUUGUGGAUGCACCUCCAAUUCUUCCCCCAUGUGAGCUUAACAUAGUUAUUAAGUAAUUUAUAUUGUUUAUUUCAAAAUAGUUGACAUCUUAUUUCUAUUAACAGCUUAUCCUCAUUCUUCAAAGAAUAUGCGGAAGAUGGUAGACAAAACCCACUACACCGAUGGCUCCGAAUUAACUUAUAGGGAGAAAAAUCAUCUGAUCGCAUUUUGUACUGAUUUUGAGAAUUACAAUGUCUACAAUCGAACUCCUCAACAUUAUGGUCAAUACGUGCCACUAGUGCACGUGUUGAACUACGGUAACUACCAUGGAGAUACCCUGGUAAGAGUUUUCACUAUUACGACAUCCGUGCAUCUUUUUGCACACUUCUAAAACUAGUACAUCAUUGCUAACUACGAAGUUAUUAAUAUUUUUUCAACAGAUAAUCUCGAAUGAUUGUGUGCCUCAUCUGAUGUAUACGCACGGUACCCUUCAUGUUUUGAACAUACAACUAGGUCUUCCUACGAAUCUGAACUGUCCAUACCGGGUUUCUAAAAGAAGUGGAGACAUGACAAUCAAAGAAUGGAAAAAAUGUAUGGACAGUCGUAAGGAGCUUCUUGGAAACAAAAGGCAGCGAAGCGCAAGAAUUGGAGACAGGAUGAUCUCCAUUCUUCAUAAUGGAGAGUCAGGGUCUAUAUUAUUUUAUGCUAUUUUACCUUAAGGGUGUUUAGGUCCUACCUGAUACUGAUGAUCAUGUGCUAAGAACAAUUAUCACUACAACAAAUAUGUCAACUUAUGACCUUCUGUCAGUGACCCUCGAAGAAUUGGUCAUAAAUUUAUGACCAUUUUAGACCAAUUGGUCAAAAGCUGUUCAGGGGGCUUCAAACCCUAAACCAUUGCGACCAUUUUGGUCAGAAAGGUCGUAAUUACCUUACACGAAAUGGUCACAAAGCAAAUAGUGCUAGUCCGCUGCCUUAUUUCUAGUUGUUAAUGACCAAUAUAGAUGGUCAUAACCUUGUAGAUUGUGGUGGGUUGUGAUGACUAGGCGCCAUCUCAUCAGUUUUGCCUAUGUGUCAUGUCCAUGUGGCAGUUUUUGCCCUAGGUUGUGAAGCAACCUAUAUUUCUAUCAUUUCCAAAAUUCCCAAAAAAAUCUCAUAAAUUCUUUGGGUCAUACCUUCAUCAAAUAUGUAAAAAUCUUCCUUGCCUAGUUCAAAAAUAAUUCAAAAAUAUUCAUUUUCCUAUUCUGUUCAGAGUAACAGUUUGUGAAGGAAGUACCACUUUGGCAUGUCCAAAUAGUAUCCAUUUUCUACAGUGCUUUCCUAUGACCAAAUAACGAUCCUCCACCAAAUGCCAGCUCAAUCCAUUCAUUAUUUUGAGCCGAGCUUCAACAUUCGUAUUUAUGUCCAGUGUGGUGGUUUGCAAAGCAAAUACCACCUAGGCUCCUCCUUUUGAGCUGAAAAUUUGUGAAGACGGUCUUCUUAGUAACUGAUCAUCCUCAGCCAAAACUCAUGCCCAUUAGCCAUGUACAUUUCCCGUACCGCUAAUCAAACACUUGGCUGCUAAUUCAUGUUUGAGCAUCGAUCGGUCUCCUCGUGAGAAUCUUAUGUUGUAAUUUUCUUCCUAGCACCAAUCUAGGGAGUGCCCAACCCACUAGACAUGCCUAGGCCACCCAAAACACAUGGCAACGCCACGGUCACGAGGUGACCAUGCGGCGGGCAUGCGAGUUUACGCGCUCUAGAGUUGGGGCCCUCGGCCACCGCCCAAACCUUGACGUAUCGCCACCAAACCAUGUAUUUAUGAUUAAAUAGGUCCUUAUGUAACUAGAAAUGAUUUUUGGAAAAAAUAAAUAGCAAACUAUGAGGCAGCUGCAGUUCAAAUUUGACCCGCUUCCAACUGAAUCGGCGGCAAUUUGUCUUUUUCACCAGAGGUGGAUCAAAACUUUUUUCACCCAACCAUUUUGUCAAUUGUGCAUUAUAUAUGGCCUAGUAUUUUAUAAAAUUGAUUUGGUCCAUUUUUGCAACAAUUAUUUGGUAGUUCCUUCACAAAAAAACCUCCUUUUGGGCACACGGAAAAUGAAAAAUGAAUUUUCCGUGCAAAGAAAAUGAAAACUUCCUUAGGCAACAUUGUUUGGAAUUCCAAGAUGUACCCUUGUGCACAAUAUGAGAUCAUUUGAACAAACUAUGCCAUGAAUGUGGCCAUAAGAUUGAUCAUUUGGCUUGAAAGCCAUUGAUCUCCACACGUGAUAGCUCGUUUCUAAGAACACUUUUUAAAAAUAAUUGUUGUAUUACAAGUUUGUUAUUUUUCCUGGGAACCUGGCCACAUAUAAUGACACAAUGCGAAGGUUUCCCAAUUUUUUGAAUUUUUUUUGAAUUUUUUAUGCCCGUUUCAAAAUGCGGUCAAAACGGCGGGAAUGACCGUUUCUAGCUAGUGGUUGAAUCUUGGAAUUUUUUUGGCGUUUCUCUGAUUAAAUAGGUACUUAUGUACCUAGAAAUGAUUUUUGGAAAAAAUAAAUAGAAAACUAUGAGGCACCUACAGUUCAAAUUUGACCCGCUUCCAGCUGAAUCGACAGGAAUUUGUCUUUUUGACCAGAGGUGGAUCAAAAGUUUUGACACCCAACCAUUUUGUCAAUUGUGCAUUAAAUAUGGCCUAGUAUUUUAUAAAAAUGAUUUGGUCCAAUUUUGCAACAAUUAUGUGGGAGGUCCUUCACAAAAAAACCUCCUUUCGGGCACUCGAAAAAUGAAAAAUGAUUUUUUCGUCCAAAGAAAAUGAAAACUUCCUUAGGCAACAUUGUUUACCAUUCCAAUAUGCACUCUUGUGCAUAGUAUGAGAUCAUUUGAACAAACUAUGCCAUGAAUGUGGCCAUAAGAUUGAUCAUUUGGCUUGAAAGCCAUUGAUCUCCACACGUGAUAGCUUGUUCUGAGAACACUUUUUUAAAAUAGUUACCGUAUUACAAGUUUAUUAUUUUUCCUGGGAACUUGGCCACAUAUAAUGACACAAUGCGAAGGUUUCCCAAUUUUUUGAAUUUUUUUGAAUUUUUUAUGCCCGUUUCAAAAUGCGGUUAAAACGGCGGGAAUGACCGUUCCUAGCUAGUGGUUGAAUCUUGGAAUUUUUUUGGCGUUUCUCUGAUUAAAUAGGUACUUAUGUACCUAGAAAUGAUUUUUGGAAAAAAAUAAAUAGCAAACUAUGGGGCAUCUAUAGUUCAAAUUUGACCCGCUUCCAACUGAAUCGGCGGGAAUUUGUCUUUUUCACCAGAGGUGGAUCAAAACUUUUGACACCCAACCAUUUUGUCAAUUGUACAUUAGAUAUGGCCUAGUAUUUUAGAAAAAUGAUUUGGUCCAAUUUCGCAACAAUUAUUUGGGAGGUCCUUCACAAAAAAACCUCCUUUCGGGCACUCGAAAAAUGGAAAAUGGUUUUUCGUCCAAAGAAAAUGAAAACUUCCUUAGGCAACAUUGUUUGCCAUUCCAAUAUGCACUCUUGUGCAUAGUAUGAGAUCAUUUGAACAAACUAUGCAUGAAUGUGGCCAUAAGAUUGAUCAUUUGGCUUGAAAGCCAUUGAUCUCCACACGUGAUAGCUCAUUUCUGAGAACACUUUUUAAAAAUAAUUGCUGUAUUACAAGUUUGUUAUUUUUCCUGGGAACUUGGCCACAUAUAAUGACACAAUGCGAAGGUUUCCCAAUUUUUGAAUUUUUUUGAAUUUUUUAUGCCCGUUUCAAAAUGCGGUCAAAACGGCGGGAAUGACCGUUCCUAGCUAUUGGAUGAAUCUUGGAAUUUUUUUGGUGUUUUUAUGAUUAAAUAGGUACUUAUGUACCUAGAAAUGAUUUUUGGAAAAAAUAAAUAGCAAACUAUGAGGCAUCUACAGUUCAAAUUUGACCCGCUUCCAAGUGAAUCAGCGGGAAUUUAUCUUUUUCACCAGAGGUGGAUCAAAACUUUUGACACCCAACCAUUUUGUCAAUUGUGCCUUAAAUAUGGCCUAGUAUUUUAGAAAAAUGAUUUGGUCCAAUUUUGCAGUAAUUAUUUGGGAGGUCCUUCACAAAAUACCUCCUUUUGGGCACUCGAAAAAUGAAAAAUGUUUAUUUUUGCAAAAAAAACUCAUUUCUCACUACACCUUUUUGAAGAUAUUUAUCUUUUUUCAUGUUUGUUAUUUUUUCUGAAAACUCGUUCACAUUUUGGUGACACAAUGAGAAGGUUUUCUAUUUUCUUUUUGAAUUUCUCAGGUCAUAAAAUAGUUGUCAUGAUUUUAACAUAUUAUUUUUAAACAACUAUGACCAAUUUAGAUGGUCAUAGCAUCAUACUGCAUUCUGAUUGGUCUGUAGACCCUUCACGCGGAUCGUGCAUCAUACGCCGUCGGAUGCUCGUUGAUCCAACGGCUGUCCACACCAACCCCGAAACCCUAGCUGGUCAUUUUCCAUCCACCCCCCCCCCGCCUCCUUCAUUUCCCACCCCCACACCAACCCAUCCAUCUCCUCGCUGCCUCCUCCCUUCCAGAUCUCCUCGCUGCCCGACGNNNNNNNNNNNNNNNNNNNNNNNNNNNNNNNNNNNNNNNNNNNNNNNNNNNNNNNNNNNNNNNNNNNNNNNNNNNNNNNNNNNNNNNNNNNNNNNNNNNNNNNNNNNNNNNNNNNNNNNNNNNNNNNNNNNNNNNNNNNNNNNNNNNNNNNNNNNNNNNNNNNNNNNNNNNNNNNNNNNNNNNNNNNNNNNNNNNNNNNNNNNNNNNNNNNNNNNNNNNNNNNNNNNNNNNNNNNNNNNNNNNNNNNNNNNNNNNNNNNNNNNNNNNNNNNNNNNNNNNNNNNNNNNNNNNNNNNNNNNNNNNNNNNNNNNNNNNNNNNNNNNNNNNNNNNNNNNNNNNNNNNNNNNNNNNNNNNNNNNNNNNNNNNNNNNNNNNNNNNNNNNNNNNNNNNNNNNNNNNNNNNNNNNNNNNNNNNNNNNNNNNNNNNNNNNNNNNNNNNNNNNNNNNNNNNNNNNNNNNNNNNNNNNNNNNNNNNNNNNNNNNNNNNNNNNNNNNNNNNNNNNNNNNNNNNCGCAGCAGCAGCAACAGCUGGCCCCGCCCGUCAUGCCCGGCUUCCUCGCGCCGCCCCUGCCCGCGCCUGCCCAGUCGCCGGCCCCGACGCAGCCGCCCCUGCCGGACGGCGGCGUGGGGGAACUCGCCCCUGACAUCCUGCUCGAAGGUACCGCAGUUCAGUCGAUUUCUUCCUGACGAAUGUUCAGUCGAUUCAGUUGUUGUAUAUAUAUGAGAUACAUGUUCGUUGUUCAUCAGUCAUACGUACGAUUUACUAGCAUACGCGGGCAAAUCAAUAUAUUUUUCUAGACGUUUUAUUGGAUCGUGAGAUGAUUGAUUUAGUACUGCUACUAGAAAGAAGACUGAAAAUGCUGGGCCAAGUGCACGCAUGUUGGGAACGUAGUUAAAUUGAGGAGUUUGUCCGUUGCUUGGCCUGGUAUUAUUACCAAAAAUGGUGUGAGUCCCUGUACUUAUUAUUAAUGGGAAAUCUUAACAUCACACUAGGGUUUAUUAGUCUCCAAUUGUAUAUUCUCAGCACUCAACUGAUUUUACUGAUACUGUAGUGGACAUGACACGUGAGCACCCCUCUUCAAGGAAUGCAAUGCUUGUUUCUGUUUUAUAUUGCAGGAACUAGAAGGAGCUUCCACCUUUGAGCACAGAAGUAGUAUUGAAAUUGAAGACCCUAGUAUUACUGUCUUGUUUUUCAAUGAAAUGGGAGGCCCAUGCAGUAAGUCACAUGGGCACCUGGGAGGCUGGGAUCAUGUGUGCUUUGCAGAGUACUAGACCCAGCUCACCCUCUGUUAGAUUACUUGUUGGGCUGCUACUUUGUGUUUGCUGUGCAGUAUAUUAGACAUCCUGAAUUUGGCAUCUAGCCAAGAACAGAAUGCAAGUUGCGCCAUUCUUAUUAUUGCUGAACUGUUGUGACGCAAUUUUUAAAGACAAAUAUAUCAUAUGAGAUUGGGCUGGGACUCCUUUUACAGUUUGAGCAUGAACAGAGCACACUUUUUAUUUUUUAAUUUAUUACAUGGAGGAGCAGUAUCAAGUUUUCUUGCUGGAACACCAUGUUUCACUUAACUUGCAGUGUUCUGCUCCUUGCAGUUUUCUGGAGCAGUGUUCAAGCUAUAAAAAUUAAAAAUUGAACAAGCCUGUGCAAUUUGUUUGAUUAAAGGGCUUAGACAAUUUCUGUUACUGCAACCUGCACCACAACAAAAGCGGCAUUCUCUUUUCUGCACUAGUGCUACUGUUUGUUUCUUCAGCCACAACUUGCCUUUACCCGCUUUUAUUUAUUGCAUUGUUUCGUCGUGCUCUAGGAUGCAACAGCCUACAGGGGAGAUGGAGAUGAAGAAGGCGCCUCUGCCAGCGCCUGCUUUCCACAAAGAGUACAUUCUUCCUAGAGCACAACGAUACCUUGAUCGACACUAUUCACACCGCCCUCCUCUCUCCAAGGAUGAUUACUCCAAAAAGGUGAGACAAGCCCUGCAUAUUUCUUAACCUGAAUCCAUGGAUACAAAUGUUACCCUUUCUGUUUGAACUGGCACUCGGCAAUAUAUUAUGGAUCAAUCACUUGCAUCUGGAUGGGUCUAGUUUGCAUCUGAACAAUAUGUUCCUUGGUUCUCAAGACCCUUUUGUUGCUAAUAGAGGUCUAUGUAUCUUCUCAUUUUAAUUUUUCUAGCUAGGUGUAACCAACUACAACGUAACUGGGUUGGUCAACUGUUCCUGAAAAUAGUAUUCUUGGAACUAAACACAUGCUGUAGGGUUUCAGAUGGUCCAUUGCAUUGCUGUUUUUUAGGCUGCAACAUAUAUUAUGGACUCCUCUGGACUGUAUCAUGCCUAAAUCGUGAUGAUACAAGCAGGGCUUAUUGCUGCAUAUCAUUAGGCAUGCAGCACAGGGAGUAAAGAAGCAGCACACACGUACGUAAUGCAUAUUUGUAAACCAAAAUCCGCUUCCAUAGUUCGGCGGGCAGUAGCAUUUUUUCGUGGGUUUUUUGGUUUUAACUUCUCUGUGUUUACUUUGUGAUGCAAAUAGCAUCAAGUACUACUAGUACAGCAUUGCCAUGCCCAUGUGCUGCUGCAUUUUUAUUUACUGAUAUAAACAGGCUUGCCAAUUUCUUUUGCUGCAACCUGUACUUUGAUAAAAAAUUGCCUCUUCUGCAGCACUGCUAUGGAUAAUUACAUACUGUCUGUUUCUGUAGCCGAUACCUACCUUUAACCCGCUUUCAUCACUUUGUUUUUGUCUGUGCUCUAGGAUCCUACAAGUGAGAUGGAGAAGAAGAAGAAGGCGCCGCUACCAACACCUCAUUUGCUUAAGGAGAGGCUCAAGAAGAUCAGGUAUAAACUCCUCCCCCUCUUGUUUGUUUUUGCUUCAUCCUAUUUGGUGGUUGAUACAUUACUGUGCAAGUUCUUUCUGUUGCUGGUAUGUGAGUUCUUUCUGUUGCUGCAAGCAUUGACACAAUAUGUCAUGUGUAGGGAGCUCCGCAUCCAAGUUUCAGCCAUCCUCUACAGCAAGGAGCUCUGGGCCAAAGGAGCAAGUAGCGCUGCUAGUUCCUUGAAGCCAGAUCGAGUAAGAUGGUGCACCAUGGCGUGUGGUGGUGUAUUUUGCUUCCGAGAGAUGUACUCGUCUAUGUACUAUUUCCCUGUACCUUGCAAAAAAUUGAAGGAUGAAGUGUCAUGUACUGUCUAUAUUGUAGUGAGCUGUAGUAGGAGUGAAACAAAAAUUUAUGUGCUGUUGUAUGUGCUAUUUCCCUGUAAUGUCUUGUGUACAUUUUACUUGAACAUUAAAUUCUCCAGAAAAAAUGUUCUUACUAGACCUGAUAGUGGCCACGGCCCAAAUAUACUCUACUAUUAAGAUGCCAUGGCCCAAAAUAACCUGGGCUAAAAAGCUAUUCAGAAGUACUAUAAGAAGGCCUCGAAAAUAGAAACAAAAAGGAAACAAACUCUGUGGAAAGGUAAAGGCCCAUGACAGAAAAGGCCCAAAAGCAUCUAGGAAAAAAAAUCAUAAAUAGGCCGAAUUGUUGGGCUAGGCCCAUGUAGAAAACCGAAUUGGACCGGGCUGAAUCUUGUGCCACAUCAGCUUGCCACGCUGGAUGCCUACGUGGCCUGGGGAGGUUGCUAGUGAGCAAAACGCCACAUUAGGAAUAUUUUGGUCAUAAACGUCUUUGACCAUUCCAGAAGAAACGUCGCUAUAGUCAGUUUACGACGACCAGCUUUUGACCUUCUGUUUUUGGUCACAAAAAGGUCAUAAAUGGAAAUUUGUGACCUUUCAGUGACCAAUAGUGGUGGUCAUAAGUUGACAUAUUUCUUGUAGUGUAUGUAGGGUUGGGUUUGAUGACUAUGAGGAUGAUGAUCGUAUGACUUAUUAUUAAUAAUGAGUAGACGUUGUAUGAUGAUGCAUGAUUAGUAGGACUUGUUAUUAUAUAUGAUGAUGUAUGAUGCGAGCAUGCAUGAGUUAUUAUAUCAGCGGGUGAAAUAAACAUAGCAGCAACGUUGGUAAACCAAGGACGAAGACAUAAGAGAGGACUCUUCUCUCUAUUAGCUAGCUAAUAACAACCUAAAAAUAACCCCCAAAACCACUAAAGCAGCCACUUUUUAAAAAAAAACAUUGACUUUUGGUCCCGGUUGGUGCCACCAACCGGGACCAAAGGCCCCCCUGCCUGGGCUCGGCGCACCGGCCACGUGGAGGCACAUCUGUCCCGGUUCGUGUUUGAACUGGGACUAAAGGGGGGAGGUAUUAGUAACGACCCAUUAGUCCCGGUUCAUGAACCGGGACUAAAGGCCCUUACAUACUGGGACAAAUUCCCUCUUUUCUACUAGUGUCCACCCCCACCCCACCAGACAUAGCAAUGGCGCACCACACCUAGGUGCGCCACUGCCAUGCUACAUAGUAGUGGCGCACCUAGGUGUGGUGCGCCAUUGCUAUGUCUCACACACACACAUACCCCACCCCACCCCGUGGACCUCCUUUUCAGUUUUAAAAAAAAUAAAAGAAAAUGAUCGAAAUGUCAAAAAAUAAAACAAAAUAAGUUUCCCUGGAAUUUACAAAUAUGUCAAAGUGAUAUGUGGUUUAGUUGUUGGGAAAAUUUACAAAUAUGAAUUUUGACUUUAUUUGCAAAAUCUCUCUGGAAUUUAGUAAAAUGGGCAUAAAUUUUGCAUACGAACUCGGAUUAAAAAGUUUUUUAUAUGAAAAAUCAUCUACUCGAAAAGUUACGUCCAAACUCAACUGGGGGAACCCCGUUGAAGAUUUUUAGAAUCCCCCAAAACCUAACAGAAUAAAAGAUAUGGGGCUUUUAAGAUCUAGAUGGGGGAAAAUGGAAAAAAAUUCAAACUUAGUAGUGGCGCACCAUUUGCUAGGCGCGCCACUAGUAACAGGAAAAAAAAUAGUUUCGAAAUUUUUUUUGGAUUUUUUUUCAAAAUAUGAUACGUAAUUUGAACAGAAGUUUGAAAUAACUUUUCAAAAUUUCAUCACACUCAUGAACAUGAACAAAGUCCUAGACAUCAACAAGGUUUAAUAUGAUUGAUAUGCUAUAUAUAUCAACAAGUUCCUGUUAAGUGAGCUGGUGCUGGGGUUGGAUAGAACUCUAAAGUUAAGCGUGCUUGGACUGGAGUAGUGUGAGGAUGGGUGACCUUUCGGAAAGUUUGACCACGGAGUGCGAUUUGACUUGAGUUUAAUCAUAGUGACCCGAGAUUAAGAAAAAACAAAAAAAUCUGAUUUUUUUUUGAAAAAAAAGUUUCUGAAUUUUUUUUGAAAAAAAUUGUUCGUAGUGGCGCCCUUCUAUGUGGUGCGCCAUUACUAAGUCAGAUAGUAAUGGCACACCUCUAGGCAUAGUAAUGGCGCACUAUAGGUGCGCCAUUACUAACAAUUACUAAUGUCGUGAUAAUAGUGGUGCACCUAUAGUGCGCCAUUAAUGGCAAAAACAGGUGCACCACUAACAGGCCUUUUUCUAGUAGUGAGUGGUACGAGAAAUGCACAUGGACAAUGGGUGUAAGUUUUGGCUGACGACGAUCAUCUACUAAGAAGACCGUCUUCACAAAGUUUCAGCUCAAAUGGAGGACCCUAGGUGGUACUUGCUUUGCAAAGUACCACACUAGACAUAAAUAUGAAUGUUGAAGCUGGGCUCAAAAUAAUGAAUGGAUUGAGCUGAAAAUUGGUCGAGGAUGGUUAUUUGGGCAUAGCAAGCACUGUAGAAAAUGGAUACCAUUUGGACAUGCCAAAGUGGUACUUCCUUCACAAUUCCCUUCUCUAGACAGAAACUUCAGAAAAUUAGUGAGAGAAAUUGGCUAAAUGAAAUGAGCUCAAAUUUGGUGUAGGUAAGUUACAUAGGCAUAUAGAAUAUGUGGCAAAAAUUCAACUCAUUAGGAUAUGCAUAGCUAGUACUUCUUUCACAAAGGUUCUAGGUGGACAAAACCCUCGGAAAUUUGUCGAGGAAGAUUUACUGGGAAAUGGAGCUGAAUUUUGUCAUGAGGCAAUGAUUUGGAUAGGAAAGAGUGCCCAAAAUUUUUGAGGGUAAUCAAGAAUAUAUAAAUAACACUUCCUUCACAAUGCUCUUCUCUGGACAGAAACUUUGGAAAAUUAGUAAGAGAAAUUGGCUAAAUGAAAUGAGCUCAAAUUUGGUGCAGGUAAGUUACAUAGGCAUAUAGAAUAUGUGGCAAAAAUUCAACUCAUUAGGAUAUGCAUAGCUUGUACUUCUUUCACAAAGGUUCUAGGUGGACCAAAACUUUGGAAAUUUGCUGAGGAAGAUUUGCCGGGCAAAUGGAGCUGAAUUUUCUCAUGAGGCAAUGAUUUGGAUAGGAAAGUGUGCCCAAAAAUUUCGAGGGCAAUCAAGAAUAUACAAAUAGCACUUCCUUCACAAAGUGUUGUUCUGAACAGAAUAGGAAAAUAAAUAUUGUUGAAUUAUUUUUGAACUAGGCAAGAAAGGUUUUUUACAUAUUUGACGAAGAUAUGACCCAAAGAAUUUAUGAUAUUUUUUUGGGAAUUUUGGGAAUGACAGAAUAUAGGCUGUUUCACAACCUAGGGCAAAAAUUGACACAUGGACAUGACAUAUAGGCAAAACUGAUGAGGUGGCGCCUAGUCAUAGCAAUCCACCACAAUUUGCAAGGUUAUGACCAUCUAUAUUGGUCGUGGUCGGCUAGAAAUAAGGCAGUGGACCAGUGCUGUCUGCUUUAUGACCAUUUCGUCUAAGGAAAUUACGACCUUCCUGACCAAAAUGGUUGUUAUAGUUCAGGGUUUGGAGCCCCCCGAACAGCUUUCGACCAAUUGGUCUCAAAUGGUCGUAGAUUUAUGACCAAUUCUUCCAGGGUCACUGACAGAAGGUCACAAGUUGACAUAUUUCUUGUAGUGAUGACGGAGAGGUUUCUCAGGGCCCACUCGGUAAUACAACAUCACAAUAAGCUUGCAAGCAAUGUGACUAAUGAGUUAGCCACGGGAUCUUGUAUUACGGAAUGAGUAAAGAGACUUGCCGGUAACGAGAUUGAACUAGGUAUGGAGAUACUGACGAUCGAAUAUCGGGCAAGUAACAUACCGAUGGACAAAGGGAACUGCAUACGGGAUUAGCAGAAUCCUUGACAUUGAGGUUCAACCGAUAAGAUCUUCGUAGAGUAUGUAGGAACCAAUAUGAGCAUCCAGGUCCCGCUAUUGGUUAUUGACCGUAGAGGUGUCUCGGUCAUGUCUGCAUAGUUCUCGAACCCACAUGAUCUACACACUUAACGUUUGGUGACGAUAUAAGUAUAAUUGAGUCAUUAUGGUGGUUACCGAAGGUUGUUUGGUGUCCUGGAUGAGAUCACGGACAUGACGAGGAACUCUGGAAUGGUCCGGAGGUUAAGAUUAAUAUAUUGGACGAAGGGUAUUGCAGUCCAGAGUUGUUUCGGGGCGGGUGAUGACCAUCAUGACCGAAAGGGGUUUCGGGGGGUCCCGGCAAGUGUUUGGGGGCCUCAUGGGCCAAAGGGAGGGGGAAAACCAUCGUACUAAGGGGAAAGCGCCCCUUUUACCUCAUACCGCGUGACCAGGGAAGGUGGGUGCUACUUGAGCUUGCGUUGGUUUUUUCCUUGAAGGGGAAAGGGUGAUGCAGCAAAGUAGAGAUAAGUAUUUCCCUUAGUUUGAGAACCAAGGUAUUAAUCCAGUAGGAGACAACACACAAAUCACCGAAUACCUGCACAAACAAUCAAACAAACUUGCACCCAACGCGAUAAAGGAGGGUUGCAACAUCCAUGCAUGUCGUUGCUGAAGAAGAUCCCGACAAUGGCGGGUCCUGAGCGGCGUCGAAGAAGUCGUCCUCGCCCAGGAACGGUGCUGCUCGGUCGGCGGUAGCCCAGUCCAUAGGCGGAGCGAUGAAGGCCGGCAUCGGAGGUGCCUGAUAGGCAUGGUGGACGGCGGCAGAUGGGUUACUUGGUCCUGCCUGAUCUGCUGCGGCUGGGCCAGGGUGAUCCUGGCGACCACGGCGGUCGUUGCCUGUGCCCCAAUGGCGAGGAACUCCAGCACUGUGGCGUCUAGUAGAUUGACGGAUCUCCAGACCAAUGAAUCGAACAAGGGCAGAGGCGAUUCUAUGUUGGUUCAUCCUGCCAUAUCACCUUCUCGUCUGUCUCGAUGCUCUCUCGAUAGAACAAGUGCAGAUAACGUGUAAGAAUUCGUGGAAAACUUAUGUAUCAUUGAUUGUUGGGCAAAGCCCUUUAUAUACAACUAUUAACGCCUCAAUUUGAGGCGUCUGUUACAGAAGGUGCCUAUCCGGCAUCGAGAAGGCGUCCGCACGGACGAUCGCGUCCAUACGAUGCUUUGGACAAUAAUAAUUGUCCGAAAGUGACACAUUGGUUGAUUCUUAACAAAUUGGUUGUGUCCGAAAGUGACGAAAGUAACCUUGUUGAAGGCAUUGUUUUCAGAGUGCAGACCUUCUUCAGGGUGAAACCAAUCUCAGGCGAUGAUGGUGUUUCUGUACUGUUUCUUUUUUGAAGGCGUUGCUUUUGAGAAAUUAUGACUUCGGAUGUUGUCUAAGCGGUGGUUCGUGCUGCAGCUACAAGUUUCUUCUUUUUAUUGUCUUUGGUUGUAUAUAUCCGUAUGUUUACAAGUUUCUUCUUUUUAUUGUCUUUGGUUGUAUAUAUCCGUAUGUUUUUACGUGUAAGCCCCACAACCCAAAGCGGUGAAGAACAAAUAGAAUUUGCUACAAAAACCGGCUAACGGGAGUAUUCCUAAGUAUGAGAACAUUGUAAUGGAGAAGGUCAUAGCCGAAAUAGGAUACGUUUUGGCUAGUGCCCAAAUCCGCUAUUUAUUUGACACGGGUUUAUAAUGUUUUUGUUUUUACGACAUUGCGUUUAUUGCAUAGGCUAGGUGUAAUCUGCGAUCUUAAUAUAUGCCUUCGUCGAAAAGGGUUAGAAACAAGAAAACAUAAGCAUCGAUCGAUUAAACUAACAGGUCACCGUAACUCUGCUAGCUAGCAGCGUAGCAGACGUUUGGGUCAAGACAAGGUACAUUAGACAGCCUCGUCAACCAUGGCUGCCCUGCUCAUAUUUUAUUACGACAUGCAUGGCGAACAGCUACUCCACUCGAUUUAGAAACCGAGGCUCUCCGCGGCGGCGUCGACGACGGUGUGCACCAGGGAAGACCACUGGAGGCCGUCGGCAGUGCCGGGGUUGCGGGCGGAGCAGUUGCGGCGGACCUGGCCCUGGUCGCCGGUGAGCACCUUGAUCUGGCCCAUCUUGACCAUGGACACGCCAAACUGGUCGAAGAAGUCGUUCUGGCUGCGCGCAAAGCGCUCCACAAUGGGCCGGGUGGUGGCGUUGGUGAAGAGGUCCUGGUCCGACACGAAGAGCCCCUCCCGGUUCACCAGGUUCACGUAGUACUUGUUGUCGAACACGUUGGGGGUGCGCACGUCCAGCACGGUGCGCGCGUCGGUGCCCUUGGCCGGGCACGUUCGUUUCAGCCUGCCAAGGAAGUCCGGGCUCAUGGUG